AGGAGCAAUAAGAAAGCAUUAUUAUUAUUGCUUUUAUUAUUAUUAAGAAAAAAGCAAUAAUAAUAAUGCUUUCUUCUUACUGCUCCUU